rnacentral:rRNA from 1 species
CCCUUAGACGUUCUGGGCCGCACGCGCGCUACACUGACCAGUGCAACAAGCAUCCGUCCUUGGCCGACAGGCUCGGGCAAUCUUUGAACGCUGGUCGUGAUGGGGAUAGACUUUUGCAAUUUUUGGUCUUCAACGAGGAAUUCCUAGUAAACGCAAGUCAUCAACUUGCAUUGAUUACGUCCCUGCCCUUUGUACACACCGCCCGUCGCACCUACCGAUUGAAUGGUCCGGUGAAGCCUCCGGAUUGGCGCGCACCUCGGUGCCGCCGAGAAGUUGGCUAAACCUUACCAUUUAGAGGAAGGGGAAGUCGUAACA